rnacentral:lncRNA from 1 species
AUUCGGAGUAAAGUCUCAAGGAGUCUCAUUCCUGAUUUGAAGUGACCCGCAUGGGUUCACAGUUCUCUCUCAGAACACGUACUCCUUUGAUUUUCUUGAAAGCCUUUGGAAAGCCUUGGGAAACCUGUAGGUUCCACUGGCAAUCAGUAUGGACUCUGUUGGAAUGUAAUGUGUCAAUUUGGUUUCAUGCCUCAUCACACUGGCAGACAGAAGAGGGUAAUGGCUGCUUUGGGGAGUGGAGGAAGCCAAAAAGAAGGCAAAGAGUGAAGACAGAGAAACAAGAUGUCAGUGGUGGUGCUGAGAAGGAAUAGAGAGACUUUUCUUCUUGUUAAGGGCCGCAGAGGGAGGAAUCCAGCUGAGGACUACACAGGGGCAUCUGGCUUCAGGAAUAACAGAUCAAAUGGUGACGAACUCCUUCAAAAUGGGCAGCCAGAUGAAGACAGCUGAGAAGAGGAGGCCCAGUUGCAGGAAUGGGCCAAGUACUUGUGGAGGGCAGUGAAAUCAAUGGUUUGCUUCAGGCAGAAAAAAGAACAUGAAAUGGGCAACUGGGCAUUGUUUAAGCUGUUGGUUCACAUCAAGGAGCAACAAUACUAAAGAACUGGUAGAGAGAAGGCUCUAGAAACAGGAACUAUUGGCAGGCUAGACCAAGUGCACCAAAAGUAUUUCAAAACUUUUGAGAUUAAGUGCUAGUUCAUGUCUGAGUAACACAAAACCAACAGACUGUGGCUUGGGAACCACAGCAUCAUUCUUAUGAAGGAAUUCUGGGAAAAGCUCAAGAGCUUCUCUCUCUGAGACUGUCUGCAGGCAUGCAAAUAGUGAUAAAUAUGUUUGGUCUUCUACACAUUUGCUAAAAUCUAAGCUCUGGAUGCCAGGAAACCUAGGAGAGCUGGGUUUGUUUUUUCAAAAAUAAUCACCAUUACAUUUUUGAUCACUGAAGAUGCAGACUUAUUGGAAAAAGAAUGUUUGAUUACCGAAAUGUACAGAAAGUGAGAGUUUCCCAUAAUCAACCACCCCCAUAACCACUGUUAACCAAUGUAUCUAUGCAAUUAAUUGUGUUUUUACAAAAAUGAGAUAAUAUUGUAUAUGUUGUGUGAUUUCAAUUAAAAGUGUCUUUUAUCUCAAUACUUAGAGACAAUUUUCAGUCUUAAUCUUCUUCCUUAACAAACCAACGAAAACAAGAUGUGUAUUUCCUAGUGUACUGAUU